CUAAUAAUAACCCCCACUUGCCCAAAAAAAAAUCAAAAAUCCCUGUCAACCGGCAGAAAGCAAAUCAAACAAGGAAUUCCAGAAAAAUGGGAAGCAAUCAAGCUGCAGUGUCUUUCUUAACCAACAUCGCACGCGCAGCUUUUGGCCUCGGUGCCGCUGCAACUCUCCUCAAUGCCUCCAUGUACACCGUGGACGGUGGCGAAAGAGCUGUAAUCUUUGAUCGUUUAAGAGGAGUGUUGGACAAAACGGCCGAAGAAGGUACCCACUUUUUGGUCCCAUGGCUGCAGAAGCCUUUCAUCUAUGAUAUCCGUAUGAAGCCUCACACCUUCUCAUCUAUUUCCGGAACCAAGGAUCUCCAGAUGGUUAAUCUCACUCUUCGAGUCCUUUCUAAACCUAAGGUGGAUAAGCUUCCUGAAAUUUAUCAACGCCUUGGUCUUGAGUACGAUGAGAAAGUGCUUCCCUCCAUUGGAAAUGAGGUGUUGAAAGCUGUGGUUGCACAGUUCAAUGCUGAUCAGCUUCUCACCGAGCGUCCCCAAGUGUCUGCAUUGGUCCGGAAUUCACUGACACAGCGUGCGAGGGACUUUAACAUUGAGCUAGCCGAUGUAGCGAUUACACACUUGUCGUAUGGUGCUGAAUUCUCAAGAGCAGUGGAGCAAAAACAGGUUGCACAACAGGAGGCAGAGCGGUCGAGGUACGUUGUGGCGAAAGCUGAUCAGGAAAGGAGGGCUGCUGUUAUCCGAGCAGAAGGUGAAAGUGAGGCUGCGAAGUUAAUUUCGGAAGCAACUCUGACUGCUGGUAUGGGACUGAUUGAGCUAAGGAGGAUUGAGGCAUCAAGGGAAAUUGCUGGAACCCUUGCUAAGUCACCCAACGUGCAAUAUAUUCCUGGUGGACAAAACAUGCUUCUCGCUAUGAAUCCAUCUAGGCCAUGAUGUUUCAGGGAUGAAUACAUACAGAAUGGAAUACAUACAGAAUGGAGAUUUCGAACCUUCCAAGAGCUUAUGACUUGGAACGAGGCUCGACUGGUUGUGAAUUUACGUAUUUUUAUUGCAUUAUCAUUGAUGGGAACUUUGUGAUGUUUGAAACAAUCUUAUGUCUAGGAAAAAGAAAAUAAAGUUUGAAGGACCAUGCUUAGCUUUAAGGUGUUUUUGAUGUCCAGUUGGAGAACAUGUGCUUUUUAGAAUUAGAUUACUAGUAGAAAUCAGUGAUUUUAGAACUUUAAAGAUGGUUUUGAUGCUAAAUAUAUGUCCGCUUCUUAUUGUUCCCAAAGUAUUCCUUAAUCUUACCAUGUAAGGUUGCUUAUUGAUAAUAAAAUUCUUCGACGGUAUCAGUUAA